GCCACAUUUUUCGGCAGUAUCUGAAGGUGCGAUCUUCUUUGAUUGUUUAGAGCCUCGCUCUAUACAAACCGCUGGUUUCUUUGAAAAACACGUGUCUAUUUGGUCGUAUCCGAAGCCGCGCCGCGUGUCGUCAUCAAUCAACGUCUAAUUUCAUUGCCGCUUCAUUAUUCUUUAAUCAAGGGCUUCGAAGUUUUCAUCCUCGUCACCAUCGCCAUGUUGUUAAGUUAGGGUUUAUGCGAAUUGGGCCUCUUAGUUGCAGGACAUUAACAACUGGUGGUUUUCUUGAAUUACUGUUAAUUCCUCGUAUUUUGAAUGUUUCUGGUUCUGUUGAUUGAUUUGAUGAUUGUCAACAAAACUUGAUGAAUGUGAUUAGGAGCAUCUUGUGAUGGAUAUCCUGCCUAGAGUUUCACUUUCAAAUGGCUCCUCAAGUACUUUAUACCCAAGAAUACCAAAAAAGGAAAUGUCGAGGUCUUUUGCAUGCAUUAAUUCACCUGACAUUCUUGGCAUUACCAUGAGAGCAAGAACUACGAUUUUGAGAAAUUCAGUUCUAGCAUUGGAUUAUAAGGGGUGUCCACUAUCAACACGUAUUAUUUGCAAAAGAUGUAAUAUCCCCGUGGCAAAAUUUUCUUCGUACUCAGAUGGUGGUCUGGACUCAUACAGCACUGAUCCUAAUGUCAUUCAAACCAAACGAAGUCUCCUAGGGAUUAUAAAGGAGGGCAUUGGUGAUUUGGUGGGAAUUUCAAGCAACCCGUCAUAUUCUAGAAGUGUUGAGAGUGAGCUUGUAAUUCUUGCUUUACCUGCAAUUGUUGAAAGAGCAAUAGAUCCAUUGGCACAAUUGAUGGAGACAGCUUAUAUUGGAAGAUUGGGUGCGGUGGAGUUGGCUUCUGUUGGUGUUUCCAUGUCAAUUUUCAAUGUCAUAUCGAAGUUAUUCAAUAUUCCUCUCCUAAGUGUCACGACUUCAUUUGUGGCUGAAGACAUAUCAAAAUGUGCAAGCGGGGACCUAAUUACAGGCCAAAGUAAUCAAGUUGAUAAUGGUGACCUCCAACCAAAAGUGCAUGAGAUAACAGAAAGGAAACAAUUACCUUCUGUAUCAACUGCCUUGUUUUUAGCGGCUACCAUUGGUAUCAUUGAAGGUGCUGCUUUAUACUUUGGAGCUGGAAUGUUUCUUAACAUAAUGGGUAUAUCAUUGGAUUCACCAAUGCGCGGUCCAUCUCGACGAAUUCUUUCUUUGAGAGCCCUAGGUGCUCCUGCUGUGGUACUUUCUCUUGCUGUCCAAGGGGUCUUUCGUGGUUUCAAAGAUACAAAAACACCCAUGCUUUGUACAGGGGUUGGUAAUCUCUCGGCAGCUUUUCUGUUUCCCCUGCUCAUGUACUUCUGUGGCCUUGGUAUAACUGGUGCUGCCAUCGCUACAGUUACAUCCCAGUAUAUUAUUACAUUUUUACUUCUGUGGUUCCUUAGUAAAAAAGUGAAAUUGCUUCCUCCCAAGUUGGAAGAUCUACAGUUUAGUUCCUAUCUAAAGUCUGGUGGUUUACUUCUUGGCAGAACUUUAGCAGUAUUAGUCACCAUGACCUUAAGUACAUCAAUGGCAGCACGCUUAGGACCAUCAGCUAUGGCUGCUCAUCAGUUAUGCUUUCAAUUGUGGUUGGCCGUAUCUCUCCUUACUGAUGCAAUGGCAAUGUCAGGUCAGGCCAUGAUUGCAAGUGCCUUUUCAAAGGGAGAGUACAAGAGAGUCAAAGAAAUUACAUAUUGUGUGUUAAAGACUGGACUGUUUACUGGUAUUUCCUUGGCGAUAAUACUAUGUGCUUGUUUUGGUUCCAUUGUGGAAUUAUUCUCUAAGGAUGCGGAAGUAUUAUCAAUUGUUAGAACUGGUGUGCUGUUUGUCUGUGGGAGCCAACCUAUCAAUGCUCUUGCUUUUGUUUUUGAUGGACUCCUUUUUGGGAUCUGUGAUUUCGCAUAUGCUGCUCGGUCAAUGAUUACUAUUUCAGCAAUCUCUUCUGCAUUUUUAUUCUAUGCUCCAUCAAUCUUUGGUUUAUAUGGAGUUUGGUCAGGGUUGGCGGCAUUCAUGACCUUGCGUAUGGCUGCAGGGUUUUUGAGGUUAGGAUCAAAGUCUGGGCCAUGGUGGUUCUUGUGGAAGGACAUUGAGAAUCCUGAAGUUGUUACAUAUUGAGUUGAUUUUUUAUCUUCACUGGGGGAAGCUAGCAGGUCAGUUCAUUCUUUGCCUAUUUUCGGUUGCUUUCUACUACGGAAAACCAUGCCUCAACUGGUUGUGAAGUCCGUUGAAAGCCUAUUGACUUGGUGGUUUGAUUGCAAUGGGUGCAUGUCUAGUUUUAAGGGUUCAACCAACCCACCUGAGGAUAAAACAAAGAGUUCCUGUCAGUUCUGAAUUUCUUCUACAUUAGUCAAACUUGCUGAAUCAAAUGAUGACCUGACAUAGCAAAUCAUCAUCGUUUUGGGUAAGUAACUAGGUCAGUCAAAAAGUCGCCUGGGUUUGGAUGACUAAUAGGCUGUUCGAGUUGGAGUGCUUCACGAGUCAAUUUUGGCAUGGUUAGAAACAGGAGUAUGGGUAGCAUCAUUUCCUGAUAUUUUCUGUAAACAAAUUUAUAAGGUUAUUGCGAGAACCACAGUUCGUGUUUCUGCACAAUUGUUAGGCAUGACUUUUCUAAAUAUAAUAUUUUCCAAUUUCUGGAAUUUUCAGGCAUACGAUAUUGAAUACUUGUAAGCUUUAAGGGUUAAGCCAAUGAGCCUUGAGCAAUAUUUUACAGCUUGACAAACCAAGCCAAGCAGAGCAGGAUAGCACAUUAAGAAAGCUGAGGCAAGCUUGUCUCAUGCUUGGCUUGAGCUUGUUUAAUAUACUAUAGGCCUGAAAAUUAAUUUUUUUGGAAUAUAUCAUCGUAUCUGAAAUUAAUAUACUCUGGAUAACAUUAAUCUAUUCGUCGUUUGGUACAUAGAUUGUCUUAUAUGUAAUAUUAUUUUGUUAUUUAACUUUUUUGGUGAUUUUCAUACAUUUUUUGCUAUUUCUGGCUAAAAACAUGUGGUCUUUGGCAAAUUGCUCAGAAAAGUAAAAACGACCUUUCAAAAAGAUGUACUUAUAUCUUGCCUAUAAUUAUUUGAGAUAACUUUAUAAUGCACAAUGCCAAAGAACAAUUAAUUCAUUAUCAGGACUAACUUUAUUGAAAAUAGUGAAUUAUUAGUGGUAAUGACUACAUCCAAACAUGCCCCUAUGAUUCUAGAUGGACCUGUUUGGAUGACAGUUUUUUUUAUUAGCAGUAGGCAAUUUUGCCUGAAGAUCAUAUAUUUUGCAUAAUAUUACUUUCUUAGCUGUUUAAUUUGUCUCUACGUUUGUAUAAAUAUUUUAUCGGUUGGUUAUUUGGAUUUAUUAUUUGGUCUAUUUAUUCCCCUUUUUAUCAUCUCCUUUUUACAUCUUGAAAACUAGAUCCAACUUACGACCACAAAAUUCUCUAUCUAUAUCCAUUAUUCAUAAAUCUCUCUUUCUCUCUCUCUCUAGCUAAUACCUUUAAACUCGCUCUCUUUUGGCUUUGGCCUAUGUCAUCUCUCAUCUCAAUUGCACUCUUCUCUCUCUCUUCCUUGGGCACUGUGAAGAAGACUUACCUCUCCCUCACUAAGUAGAAAGUGGAAGCUUCAACCAGUUCCUCACUGUAAGAAGCUAUGAUCCACAUUUCCUUGCCUGAAAAACCAGAAGUUGAAGGAAAAUGAGUGGCAAUUGCGAUGAGUUUCAGCAAUUUUCAUCUCAACUGGUUUGUCCUGCGGUCAAGUUUGAUGGUUAAUGGAAACCAGAACCACAAUGAGACGGAGAGAACUCUGUGUAACAGGAGAGGAGAAUCAAGGAAGUGGGCGAAAAGUAUAAGGAGAAUAGAGGAGAGUAUUGUCGCCUGGAAUCAGUUCUCAAAGAACUGAUUGUAGUAGUUUUCCUGGAGUGGCAAAGCUUGAUUAAUAAAUUAGGAAGGGACUGCCCUUCAAAGGAGAAAAGUGAAGAAAAUUCAUCAAAACUAAUGAAAAUGGGUAGAAUACUCUCGUAUAUCUUUCCUAGAAUCCUCCAGCAGAAGCCACUAACAAACAUGAUUGCCUCCAUUUUAGGUGGAUUUGAAGCGAAAAGGGGCUGGACUAACUGGUGAAAAGUACAGGGUAGAGUAUGAUUCGAGGAUUUAUCACUAGUUUCCUGAGUCCUCUGUUUUGAAGGUUUCUUUCCACUUGUCUUUUUACGGUGAGUUGCAGAGAGAUAGUGAGAGAGGGAGGGGUAUUAAGAGAAUGAGAGGAGAGACUUGCACAAGAGAGAGAGGUUUCUUACCACUUGUCUUUUUACGGUGAGUUGCAGAGAGAUACUGAGAGAGUGAGGGGUAUUAAGAGAAUGAGAGGAGAGAUUUGCGAGAGAGAGAGAGAGAGAGA